UACGUAGGGACCGAGCGUUGUCCGGAAUCAUUGGGCGUAAAGAGCGUGUAGGCGGCUUGCUAAGUCUUGCGUGAAAUCUCGGGGCUCAACCCCGAGCGGUCGUGGGAAACUGGCAGGCUAGAGUGCGGGAGAGGAGAAUGGAAUUCCUGGUGUAGCGGUGAAAUGCGCAGAUAUCAGGAAGAACACCCGUGGCGAAGGCGGAUCUCUGGGCCUUACCUGACGCUGAGGCGCGAAAGCUAGGGGAGCGAACAGG
rnacentral:rRNA from 1 species